CUUAUCCUUUUGAUUUGUAAAUCUCCAUUCUAAGAAAUAGAGUUUGGUUAACUAGUUCUUUUAUUCCUUUUAGUACUUCCUUCACUCAUGGAAGGUAACACAUAACGAGUCCACAGGACUCGAAGACGGGCCGAGGCCUAUCACAACGAACAGCUGAAAGACGACACGAGUACAAUAAAGAGACAGACGAGACACGAAAAAAGAGGCCCUGAACAGUGAAAAAUGCACCACAGAUCCCGUUAUUAUCUGGAUCGCCGCCGCGAUCAGGCAGAUGCAGCCAUUGCUUCUCUGCGACGCUUAAAGAAGGUAACCAACCAGUCCCUAUCCGGAAGGUUUUCUUUAAUUAUAGGCGCUUGCUUGAAGUUUUGAAUCCAGGCAUGCAGGCGAGGAAACUUGUGGGCUUCAAAUAUUACUCCUUCCCCUACUGCUAAUUCUUCAACGAUUUCCAACCAAUAAACAACAGAACCAAAGGCUAUAUCUGCCAUGUUGGUGGGAGGAACCACUGGUGGUGGCUUGGAAAUACUGAGAGGGGAUAAAACACACUGGUUUUAUUACAAAAUCCGAAGCUUACAAUAACACAAUAAAAGCUUAACAAUUACACAUCCUCUCUCUCUCUAUUCUCUUUUAAGUGUUUCUCACAAUUCUCUCCACACAAAAUAACAUAACUGAGCAUCCUAUUUAUACAUAAAUUCAGAAUACGAAAAUCUACUGUUCUAAACACUAUCGUAACUUACAAGCUGUGGAUUUUGACUUUGAACAUGUACAUGCAUGUCUUGUCUUCGGAUUAGGUGGUGCAUGUGGAGUUGUGGACACAUCACUUAUGAACUCGUGUGAUUUUCGUAGAAAUUUCGAUGCCCUGCUCCAAGAUCCUACAACAUUGUCAAGAUAUUAAUUAUUUAAAAAUUUGGAAAAGCAGAGAAAUGAACUAUUCCUGCAUUGACUGCCCUUUUUCUUUUGUUAACCUUCUGCUAAAAGUAUCUAUUGACUGUUGAAACAAUCUUAAUUUACCAAAAUGAACCGUUGAUUUAAAGAAACAUAAGGCAGCUGUCUUUAAUCUCUAGUGGUGAUGGUGGUAAGCAUGAGGUGAUUUGAUGAAUAUCUCAGUGCUUCUUUGAAGAGAGGCUGUUUAGUAUUUUAGUGUUGUUUUUUACAGUAUUUUUAUUUAGAAAUAUAUUAAAAUAAUAUAUUUUUUAUUUUUUAAAAUUUAUUUUUAAUAUUAAUAUAUUAAAAAAUCUAAAAUUAUAAAAAAAAAUUAAUUUGAAACAAAUAAAAACAUACAAAUUUUUUAAAUUUUUAUUUAAAACAUAAAAAGAAUCAGAAUUAAAGUAGUCAAAAGCUUGAUCAUGGUCAGGGAAGGUUGUGUGUAAAAAAUUACUAGUAAUCUGAACCAAAUGUAAAUGCUAUUUUUAACUCUUUUAACUUUUACUGUAUAUGUUCCCAUAAAAUCUUGUGAUCUUUCAAAUGAGAUUAAGAGUUUUUGAGAUAACAAAAUACGAUAAUUAAAGGUUAUUUAAAAUUAUUUUUUCAUUCACUCGUAACUUGGAAGUUGAUGUUUUAUGGUAAAAUAACCUUUUUGGAGAAUAAAUUCUAACAUAUUUUUAACUUAAAAGUAAAUACAUCUCAUUUUUAAUUUUAUCUUAAAUGUGUAUAUUAACUAUAUUUUAAAACAAAAUUUUUAAAACUUCAUACAUGUAUGCAAGUGAGGAAAAGUGCGUUUAUUUUUAUGUUCAAAAAAUAUUUUUAAAAUAUAUUUUUGUUUUAAAUUAUUUUUUCUAUAAUUUUAGAUAAUUUUGAUGUAUUGAUAUUAAAAAUUAAUAUUUAAAAAUUAAAAAAUAUAUAUUAUAUUAAUAUAUAUAUAUAUAUUUAAUAAUAUUUUUAAAAAUAUCAAUUUGAACAAACUUGACGGCAAUAAUCUCGCCCGUAGCUGCUAAUGUAUGAAAUUUCCAUCCCAAGGAAAUAUCUGCGAGUUCAAUUCUGUCACGGUCGAAAUUUUUUUGUCCUCCUUGAAGCAGAGUAUAACAGAGAGAGGAGUAUAACAGAGUGUUUUCAAGAGAAAUUUUCCACCCUUUAUGAAUUUGUUGACGAUCAGAUUUAAAUGUACGGAAUUAUAAAGGAAUUAUAGUAAGUUAAAUAUAGAAUGAUUUGCAAUUGUUUUCCUAGAAUACUGCUGCACUAUCUGUUUGCAUUAAUAUACACAUGAUUUUCGGCUCGGAGUCUGGUGGACUCGUUUUGCCAUUAGUUGUCUUAAUACUCAGAGCCCCUGCUCUUCUAUGCUUCUCAAGGUCCGCAGAGUAUUAUUUAUUAGCUCCUCCACAUACGUGAAAAAAAAAGAUGUUUAGUGUUAUUUCAUAAUUUGUUAAUAUUAUUUUUUAAAGUAUUUUUUAUUUAGAAAUAUAUUAAAAUAAUAUUUUUUUAUUUUUAAAAAAUUAUUUUUGAUAUUAACAUAUAAAAAUAAUUCAAAAACAUUCAAAAAAUAAUUUAAAGUAAAUUGUUUUAAAAACUUUAAUAAAAAACAAAUUCAAUCUGAAUUACAAACAGGAUAUAAGUUAAUAAAAGUAAUGCCUGCACUUGAGUUCAUCUUCAAUGGCAAUACAUUUUAAAAAAAUAAAAAUAAAUAGCAAAAUACAUGCUUGACAAGAUUUUCAUUCUAAGAAAGGUAUCAAUAAGUUUACUUUAUAUAUAUAUCAUAAUAAAAUAUAUCACCACUCAAAUGGUUUGUAUUCUCUCUAUCUUUUUUUAGUUUUCUUAAAAAAAUUAAAUUAUUUUAAUAUAUUUUUCCUCACUUGUAAAAUAGUUUAUUUUUGUAAUCAAUUCUUCUUGUAUUACUAUUAUUGCAAAACUAUGAAAAAAAAACAAAUAUAAUUACGAUGGUGAUUUAUUUUUUAAAAAAUAAAUUCAUAUGUACCUUUUUUCUUAAUUCUACAUAUAUAAAGAAUUCACGUUCAAGUUUAAAUAGUUUAAGACCAUUCUACUCAAUAAAUUAGGCCAAGUGCUCUCUUCUCAAGAAAAUGAAUGCUUUAUAAUUUAUAUUCUGAAUAGCCCAAAGGAAAAGUACUUACCUUUUCGUCUAUCCAAAACAAAACCAGGAGCCAGGGAGCAUUAGGAUCCUUCGCCAGCAGAGGAUUUUCUGGCCAUGCAUCUCAAUUUGCAUUUGAGAUCUUGACCGCGGUGGAUUUGUUUCCUUUCUUAUACCAGGUUGAAAUUUAAUUGUGCAUGUCUGUUACCUUCGUAGUGCAUUAUAUACUUACUGGAUUCGUAGAAUGUUCAAUAGACCAUAGAAUUAAUCGUGAUACGUGCAAGCUGCCCGGACAUCCAUGUAAAUAAAUAAAAAAAAAUCAAUCUCAAUUUUAAACGGGACAUUUAAGCUAAUAAAAGUACUGCUUGUACUUGAGUUCGGCACGGUUUAUUUUUAUAUUUAAAAAAAAUUUAAAAAAAAUUAAAUUUUUUUAUUAACAAGCACUGGGAUUUUUUUUUACUAUUAAAAUAAAUACUAAAAAAAAACACAUUCUUUGAACCGUGUAUACACUCAUAUUUCUCCAUGGAUUUCCAUAAUAAGAUUACCAUUUUGUCUUUAAUAAUUAAAAAGUUUUAUAGCAUACUUUCAAGGGUAAUAUGAUAUUUUUCACGGACACAUUUGCAAGAUUGAAUGGAGAUUAAAAAGCUUUCAUCCUUUUAUUUCCACAGAAUAAUGUCUAAAAUAACUUUAAAAAUUGAAUUUGCUUAACCGUUAGGACAUGGGUGUAUUCAAAAUUUUCUUCUUUUGGGCAUACUGUAAUUACUAAAAUAUCAUUUGAAUAAAAAGAUAUAUAACUAAGAAUGAGGGGUUUAGUUAAUAUCAUGUGGGGUUAGGGACAUUUAGGUAUUUACAUAAAUUAAAUUAAAAAACAAAGAAAAGUUACGAGUACAUGCAACGUACCUGUCAGUGUAUAGACACCUUUUAGAUGGCGCAUCUAACGUCUUCCAGCUGUCAAAAAAGGCCGAACAGUAUCUCUUCUAAAGGAUAAUGUUGAGGCAUAUCCACUAGAGGGACGCGUGUCAUCCAUAUUGGUGUUGGAUUCCCCAUUAUUUUCUCUUUUAUUUUUCCCUUGGAAAACAUGCAGCUAAAAUUAGGAGUAAUACACUAUUUUCAUCUUACUUUAAUUAUAGCCUUCAUUCUUGUGAUUCCUUUUUAUUUGUUUUAGAUUUAUUUUUUAAUUUUAUCUCUUAAUAUUUAAUUUUAUUUUAUACUUUUAUACCUUAUCCUUAUCCUUUUGAUUUGUAAAUCUCCAUUCUAAGAAAUAGAGUUUGGUUAACUAGUUCUUUUAUUCCUUUUAGUACUUCCUUCACUCAUGGAAGGUAACACAUAACGAGUCCACAGGACUCGAAGACGGGCCGAGGCCUAUCACAACGAACAGCUGAAAGACGACACGAGUACAAUAAAGAGACAGACGAGACACGAAAAAAGAGGUCCUGAACAGCGAAAAACGCACCACAGAUCCCGUUAUUAUCUGGAUCGCCGCCGCGAUCAGGCAGAUGCAGCCAUUGCUUCUCUGCGACGCUUAAAGAAGGUAACCAACCAGUCCCUAUCCGGAAGGUUUUCUUUAAUUAUAGGCGCUUGCUUGAAGUUUUGAAUCCAGGCAUGCAGGCGAGGAAACUUGUGGGCUUCAAAUAUUACUCCUUCCCCUACUGCUAAUUCUUCAAUGAUUUCCAACCAAUAAACAACAGAACCAAAGGCUAUAUCUGCCAUCCCUACACUAUCUCCACCAAAAAAUUUCUUCUCCCCUAACCCGUGUUCUUCAACGGUUUGCAACAUUUCCAGGGUUUCCUUCGUUGUCUUCUCAAGCUCUUCCCCUUUAGCACGAAACAUUCUCCACACUGAUAUACCCUGAAGCCAGAAUUAACCAUGAAAUUAAUCGAUGAAAACUAAAUGGAUUACCAAAGAAAAUUAAGCUUAACAAGUCCAGUUUUAUAGGUAUGAAUCAUGAAAUGUACAAUAAUGUCUGCACGCUGUACCUUAUCUUCGGCAAAUUUGACCCAGAAACGAGCCAGAGCUCUCUCGUAGGGGUCAAUUG
rnacentral:lncRNA from 1 species